rnacentral:tRNA from 1 species
CCUUCGAUAGCUCAGCUGGUAGAGCGGAGGACUGUAGAGGUUGUCGUCUGUAGUCAUCCUUAGGUCGCUGGUUCGAUUCCGGCUCGGAGGA